rnacentral:rRNA from 1 species
AUUGAACGCUGGCGGCAGGCCUAACACAUGCAAGUCGAACGAGUGGCGGACGGGUGAGUAAUGUCUGGGGAUCUGCCUGAUGGAGGGGGAUAACUACUGGAAACGGUAGCUAAUACCGCAUACCAUCAGAUGAACCCAUAUGGGAUUAGCUUGUUGGUGAGGUAACGGCUCACCUAGCCGACGAUCCCUAGCUGGUCUGAGAGGAUGACCAGCAACACUGGGACUGAGACACGGUCCAGACUCCUACGGGAGGCAGCAGUGGGGAAUAUUGCGCAAUGGGGGCAACCCUGACGCAGCCAUGCCGCGUGAAUGAAGAAGGCCUUCGGGUUGUAAAGUUCUUUCGGUAGCGAGGCGUUAACUACAGAAGAAGCACCGGCUAACUCCGUGCCAGCAGCCGCGGUAAUUC